rnacentral:piRNA from 1 species
UGAAAUGGAUGUAAUUUGAAAUGCUAUCUU